rnacentral:lncRNA from 1 species
UUAUUUUUAUUAUUUAUGUGGUUGCUAUUAUUUGGUGGUUGCUUUGAGUGAGACCGGUUUCUAUUUAGCCUUCAUUUCAUAUUCUUUCACUUAAGCCAUAGGUGGGCAUUAUGUUUUACAUGGGCUUUUGGCAUGUUCUCAUUUGAGGUAAUUAAAUUUACCUUAUUCCCAUUAGAGCCAUUGAGUUCCACAGGCUUGUCUUGGUUC